rnacentral:lncRNA from 1 species
AGCGGCCGGGGCGGAGAGGAAACCUGCGCCCAGAGCCACGUGCUGGAGCCGGCGCGGGUGCCUGGUGUUGUGUGCUGCCCACUGCAGAGACCAAACACUGGUGACCACAGAAGACAUCUGGCAAGUCUAGAAAAUGGUGAACAGCUAACGUUUAGUAAGCAUUUACUAUGUGCCAGGAAUUUUUCUGAGCUCCUUACAUGCUCCUUACUUGCCUCAUUUCAUCCUUGAAGCAGCCUUAGGAAGCAGAGCUGAUGAUUACCUCCCUUUCACAGGUAAGAAAAUGGAGAUACUGAGAGGUCAAGCAAGCACUUGGUGAGAGAGUCAGGGUUAGAACCCAGCUAUUUCAAUCUCAGACUAGGAGCUUAGCCACUUUGCUCCCUAAGAG